rnacentral:rRNA from 1 species
UACAGAGGGUGCGAGCGUUAAUCGGAGUUACUGGGCGUAAAGGGCGCGUAGGCGGUUGUUUAAGUGAGGUGUGAAAUCCCUGGGCUUAACCUAGGAAUUGCAUUUUAGACUAGAUGACUAGAGUACAGUAGAGGGUAGCGGAAUUUCCGGUGUAGCGGUGAAAUGCGUAGAGAUCGGAAGGAACAUCAGUGGCGAAGGCGGCUACCUGGACUGAAACUGACGCUGAGGCGCGAAAGCGUGGGGAGCAAACAGG